CCGAGGGGACCGGCGACGAGAGGUCGCGGCGCGGGGUCGGAGGUCAGAGGCUGAGGUCACCACCGUACCCGUCAGGCCGUGGCUAGAGAGGGGUCGGGGCUCGCCGGGACUCACCGACAGCUCGCUGGAAACGAGGCAUGUGGAAAUUGGGCCUCGCUGAGGCGCACAUAAGGCCCGGGCCGCGGGUAGACCGUGGGCGCUGAGGCCCUGCGCUGCCCAGCCCCCAAGUUCGCAUUGGGGGCUUCAUCCCGUUAUAUCCUAAAGCGGCCCCAGAGCCCUGCCUCGAACCCACUCACCUGCCGCCUCUGAAAGCCACUCACUUUCCGCCGCUGCGUUGCGGAAAAUCACCCUCCAGGGACCUUCCUUGCCCGCCCUGGGUUUCCGCAGCCGCCAGCCUUCGAUCGACUUUCCUACCCGCCGUGGACCCUCCUUGGGUUAUUUCGAGCUGUGGGGACCCACUGGGAACCCCAGAGUGGAUGUGAAGGUUAUUUUAAACUGAAGGCAUUUGAGACCCAACAGAUGUAAAAAGCAGCUUUGUCAGAGCUUUCCAUAUCUGAGAGCGAAGCCCGAAGUUGAACCAGGACAUUCAGUACCUAAAACAUGUGAAAUCUCUUGGGCCCCCGGAAUCACUAAGGAAAACUCAGGCUGGAAGCUGCUCAGGGCAAACCUGCCUCCCGCUCUAUUCAGAGUCACCCUCUGCUCGCUGAGAUAGAUGGAUAUCUGACUGACUCCUUUGAAAAGGCUCAUCAGAAGGCUGGUCUCGAACUCCUGACAUCAGGUGAUCCGCUGGCCUCCCAAAGUGCUGGGAUUACAGGCGUGAGCCACCGCAGCUAGCCGCUAUGUUCAUCUUACAUAUAUUGAUUGAUGUCUCAUGUCUCCCUAAAAUGUAUAAAACCAAGCUGUGCCCCAACCACCUCAGGCACAUGUUGUCAGGACCUCCU
rnacentral:lncRNA from 10 species